UACGUAGGGGGCAAGCGUUGUCCGGAAUUAUUGGGCGUAAAGAGCUUGUAGGCGGUUUGUCGCGUCUGCUGUGAAAAUCCGGGGCUCAACCCCGGACUUGCAGUGGGUACGGGCAGACUAGAGUGUGGUAGGGGAGACUGGAAUUCCUGGUGUAGCGGUGAAAUGCGCAGAUAUCAGGAGGAACACCAAUGGCGAAGGCAGCACUCUGGGACGUGACUGACGCUGAGACGCGAAAGCGUGGGGAGCAAACAGG
rnacentral:rRNA from 1 species